rnacentral:lncRNA from 1 species
GUCAGUCAGGAAAGCAUGUCAAAACUGCUGUCAAUCUCUUCCUCAACUCUUAAACUCACGCAGAUCUCGUCUGUGUCCUGUAUUCCUCAGAAACUGAGAUUAAAAUUUUUUUGUAUAGAAGUCUCUAAAGAAUGAUUUAUGGUUUUGGCCAUCACCUAAGGUGGCUGCAUUUUGUUUCAUUUUCCCCAGGUUCUGCAAGUGAGAGUCCUCUGAGCAGAGGUAUCUACUCCACUCCUCUUCAGGCCUCCUCCCUGUUGGAACAGCCUCUUCACAUCCAGCCCCUUGAAGGUGUUUCUCACUUCUUCCACUGUUUCUCUCUCCCAUUCCAGGAAUGCAUCUGAAUCCCUUUUCCUCACCUGUCUCCAACAAGAUUCAGAGAAAUCUGCCCAAAUCCUUUCUUUCUGCCUCUCAUGGGCACUUUGCUCCAAAACCUCCAGAAGACACCCUUAAUGGCAGUGAUGUUGGUAUGCAGUGCUCCGAGUGUGCCCGUCUGCCCACAGCCUUAACUGCAGCCUUAACCACAUGGAGCAGGGUGGGAGCUCUCCACCUGACACUCAAAGCUUUUCUCUCACUGGAUCCGUCCACGUGGCUCAGUGCUCAGCUCUUAGCUUCCACUGGUGGCAACUGCCUUGCUGGAUGAAAAGAAUUUUCUUGUUUGAACCUGAGGAUACCUUAUCAUGGCUUGCAUGUUAACAACAACACAAUCGCUUUCUGGAUUGAAGCCCUUCCUGUCAUCUGACAUAUACUUCGGAACGCAACGACACUGGAUGCCAAGAGUAGUGACAACUUUUGUCACACACCUAACUGAAGGGGCCUACUUGCAUACUUUUUACACUUGAAGGUAUCAUCAUUUAGUACAUUUAAUCCUCUUCCCAAAAAUGCUGGUGGCAUUCACCAUUCUUAAAUGUUAUAAUAGAUGCUGUGUUUGUGUUUUCCCUCAAUGCACAGAUCUUUAAAGAAAAUCCUAGGCGGGUCAUCUUUUUGCUAUGCUCAGCAAAAGUCUUAACACCACUAUCCUCUACAUUACAGCUAGAAAGCACUGUAAGUGA